GAUGAACGCUAGCUACAGGCUUAACACAUGCAAGUCGAGGGGUAACAAGAGAAAAGCUUGCUUUUCUUGUUGACGACCGGCGCACGGGUGAGUAACGCGUAUCCAACCUGCCUAUAACUAGGGAAUAACCUUGCGAAAGUAAGACUAAUACCCUAUGAUUUCCUUUGAUGACAUCAGAUUAGGAAUAAAGAUUUAUCGGUUAUAGAUGGGGAUGCGUCUGAUUAGCUUGUUGGCGGGGUAACGGCCCACCAAGGCAACGAUCAGUAGGGGUUCUGAGAGGAAGGUCCCCCACAUUGGAACUGAGACACGGUCCAAACUCCUGCGGGAGGCAGCAGUGAGGAAUAUUGGUCAAUGGGCGGAAGCCUGAACCAGCCAAGUAGCGUGCAGGAUGACGGUCCUAUGGGUUGUAAACUGCUUUUAUACAGGAAUAAAGUUAGCCACGUGUGGUUAUUUGUAGGUACUGUAUGAAUAAGGACCGGCUAAUUCCGUGCCAGCCGCCGCAGUAA
rnacentral:rRNA from 1 species